CACCCGAUAGCACAUGGUGUGUGCUUGCUACCUGUUACGAUUGUUACGAUUGUUGGUAUGCGAGAGUUGCCCGUUCGAUUCGGGGUCGGGUGA